rnacentral:rRNA from 1 species
AGUGAACGCUGGCGGUAGGCCUAACACAUGCAAGUCGAACGGCAGCACAGUAAGAGCUUGCUCUUACGGGUGGCGAGUGGCGGACGGGAGAGGAAUACAACCGAAUCUACUUUUUCGUGGGGGAUAACGUAGGGAAACUUACGACAAUACCGCAUACGCCCCAGCGGGGAAAGCGGGGGAACGUUGGACCUUUUGCGGUUGGAUGCGCCGAUGAUGGAUUAGUUAGUUGGCGGGGUAAAGACCCACCAUGGCGAGGAUCCGUUGCUGGAGGGAGUGGAGGGUAAGCGACACUGGAACUGGGACACGGUCCAGGGUCCUACGGGAGGGCGCAGUGGGGAAUGUUGGACAAUGGGCGGAAGCCUGAUCCAGCCAGCCCGCGUGGGUGGAGGAGGCCUUCGGGUUGUAAAGCCCGUUUUUUGGGAAAGAAAAGCAGCAGGUUGAUACCCCGCUGUACUGACGGUACCCGAAGAAUAAGCACCGGCUAACUUCGUG